rnacentral:rRNA from 1 species
CGGGAUUGAGAUUAAAGCUUGCUUUGAUUUCAUGAGAGUGGCGCACGGGUGCGUAACGCGUGAGCAACCUACCCAUAUCAGGGGGAUAGCCUCUCGAAAGAGAGAUUAACACCGCAUAACAUCAUUAACCGGCAUCGGAUUAUGAUCAAAUAUUUAUAGGAUAUGGAUGGGCUCGCGUGACAUUAGCUAGUUGGAGGGGUAACGGCCCACCAAGGCUACGAUGUCUAGGGGCUCUGAGAGGAGAAUCCCCCACACUGGUACUGAGACACGGACCAGACUCCUACGGGAGGCAGCAGUAAGGAAUAUUGGUCAAUGGAGGGAACUCUGAACCAGCCAUGCCGCGUGCAGGAUGACUGCCCUAUGGGUUGUAAACUGCUUUUGUCAGGGAAUAAACCUUUCCACGUGUGGGAAGCUGAAUGUACCUGAAGAAUAAGGAUCGGCUAACUCCGUGCCAGCAGCCGCGGUAAUACGGAGGAUCCAAGCGUUAUCCGGAUUUAUUGGGUUUAAAGGGUGCGUAGGCGGUCCUAUAAGUCAGUGGUGAAAGACGGCAGCUUAACUGUCGCAGUGCCUUUGAUACUGUAGGACUUGAAUCUAUUUGAAGUGGGCGGAAUAAGACAAGUAGCGGUGAAAUGCAUAGAUAUGUCUUAGAACUCCGAUUGCGAAGGCAGCUCACUAAGUUAGUAUUGACGCUGAUGCACGAAAGCGUGGGGAUCAAACAGGAUUAGAUACCCUGGUAGUCCACGCCCUAAACGAUGAUAACUCGAUGUUUGCGAUACACAGUAAGCGUCCAAGCGAAAGC